rnacentral:rRNA from 1 species
UACGAAGGGGGCUAGCGUUGCUCGGAAUUACUGGGCGUAAAGGGCGCGUAGGCGGACAGUUUAGUCAGAGGUGAAAGCCCAGGGCUCAACCUUGGAAUUGCCUUUGAUACUGGCUGUCUUGAGUUCGGGAGAGGUGAGUGGAAUGCCGAGUGUAGAGGUGAAAUUCGUAGAUAUUCGGCGGAACACCAGUGGCGAAGGCGACUCUUGGCCUGUAACUGACGCUGAGGCGCGAAAGCGUGGGGAGCAAACAGG